rnacentral:rRNA from 1 species
GACGUAGGGGGCCAGCGUUGCUCGGAAUUACUGGGUGUAAAGGGUUCGUAGGCGGUGUAGCAAGUUGGGAGUGAAAUCUCUGGGCUCAACCCAGAGGCUGCUUCCAAAACUGCUGUGCUUGAGUGUGGGAGAGGCGCGUGGAAUUGCAGGUGUAGCGGUGAAAUGCGUAGAUAUCUGCAGGAACACCCGUGGCGAAAGCGGCGCGCUGGACCACUACUGACGCUGAGGAACGAAAGCUAGGGGAGCAAACAGG